AGAGAGGGGUUGAGCCUCAUUCUCGUUCGGCUUCUCUAACAGUAAACAUCUUUUUGGAAGACUACCAAAUUUCUUGGACUAAAAAUCCUACUUCCGUAAACAGGCUAAUAAUAAAGAUGUGCAACCCCGGAAUGUGUUCAAUGCCCGGCACUUGCUGUGGACCUACUGGCGGACUGGGACCCUGUAUGCUGUGCGGACCCUAUAAUGGCCAGUGGUUCCGGUCGAUCAACCACUGCUGCGGUCCCUGUGGACCCUAUGGCUGCUGCUCGUGCUACGGGCCCUACGGCGGACAUUGUUAGCCUGCUUAGAAGGAAAGUAGGAUUUACUCAUCCACGAUCCUAAAAAGGGAACUCAACAGUUUAAAUAUGAUGCCUCAUCGACAAGAAAAAGCCAUCCAAAGAAGGAACCCGGCAUAGUGGAUCCAAAAAUUUGUGUUUGACGAAAAUUGUUGGGAUACAUCUCGUUGGGUAUCUAGCGAGGGGACUCCCAGUUUAAUCCAACAGCAAUAGAUGUUAAUAAAUUUUGCGUAUAUAUA